GUGAUGUUGACCAGGGCAGCAUUAAUAUUCCUACUAGUCCAAGCUGCCUCCAGCAAGCCUCCUCCUCCCAGGGGAGUACAGUUUUUACUAUUACUGUCACCUAGCCUUUACUCCCUUUUGCCCUUUUAUCUAUUACAAGUAAUUCGAGCUUCCCCUGCCCUUUUCAAUGGGAGACACGGCUUUCUGCAAAGCCUACUCCUGCCACUAAGAUCACAAGGUACAGAUCCUUUCUAAAUUGAGGGGUUUACUGUCAAAAUGAAAAUUUCACUUCAAAUUAUCUUGGCUGAUGCAGGUUUUCCAGGCCGGGGGCUCCUCU